rnacentral:rRNA from 14 species
GUUGAGGCAUGAUGGGGAGCCCACGGUUGUGGGUGAGUGAGUGAUCCUGUACUGUCGAGAAAAGCUUCGUGAGCGAGGUGGCGGGUCCGCCCGUACCCUAAACCGACACUGGUGGAUAGGUAGAGUAUACCGAGGCGAUCGAGUGAAUCGUGGUGAAGGAACUCGGCAAAAUGCCCCCGUAACUUUGGAUAAGGGGGACCUGAGCUGUCGUGCACCCGUGCGGUGUGGUGGCGGUGAGGGGCGCAGAGUCCAGGGGGAAACGACUGUUUACCAAAAACACAGGUC